rnacentral:rRNA from 1 species
AUGAACGCUGGCGGCGUGCCUCAUACCUGCAAGUCGCACGCAUAGCGAAAGGUGCUUGCCCCUUUCAAGUGAGUGGCGAACGGGUGAGUAACACGUGGACAACCUGCCUCAAGGCUGGGGAUAACAUUUGGAAACAGAUGCUAAUACCGAAUAAAACUUAGUGUCGCAUGACACAAAGUUAAAAGGCGCUUCGGCGUCACCUAGAGAUGGAUCCGCGGUGCAUUAGUUAGUUGGUGGGGUAAAGGCCUACCAAGACAAUGAUGCAUAGCCGAGUUGAGAGACUGAUCGGCCACAUUGGGACUGAGACACGGCCCAAACUCCUACGGGAGGCUGCAGUAGGGAAUCUUCCACAAUGGGCGAAAGCCUGAUGGAGCAACGCCGCGUGUGUGAUGAAGGCUUUCGGGUCGUAAAGCACUGUUGUAUGGGAAGAACAGCUAGAAUAGGAAAUGAUUUUAGUUUGACGGUACCAUACCAGAAAGGGACGGCUAAAUACGUG